rnacentral:rRNA from 1 species
UACGAAGGGAGCUAGCGUUGUUCGGAAUCACUGGGCGUAAAGCGCACGUAGGCGGAUGUGUCAGUCAGGGGUGAAAUCCCGGAGCUCAACUUCGGAACUGCCUUUGAUACAGCAAGUCUUGAGUUCGAGAGAGGUGGGUGGAAUUCCUAGUGUAGAGGUGAAAUUCGUAGAUAUUAGGAAGAACACCGGUGGCGAAGGCGGCCCACUGGCUCGACACUGACGCUGAGGUGCGAAAGCGUGGGGAGCAAACAGG